UAAAAAGCUCGUAGUUGGAUUUCGGGGCGGCCCGGCUGGUCCGCCGCGAGGCGAGCACUGGUCGGGCGCCCUUCCUCUCGAAGGCUUCGACUUCUCUUCGUUGGGGUGGUCGAGGAGUUCGGGACGUUUACUUUGAAAAAAUUAGAGUGUUCAAGGCAGGCCUCCGCCUGAAUACGUUAGCAUGGAAUAAUGGAAGAGGACCUCGGUCCUAUUUUGUUGGUUUCCAGGGCCGAAGUAAUGAUUGAGAGGGACAGUUGGGGGCAUUCGUAUUCAAUUGUCAGAGGUGAAAUUCUCGGAUUUACGGAAGACGAACGAGUGCGAAAGCAUUUGCCAAGGAUGUUUUCAUUAAUCAAGAACGAAAGUUGGGGGUUCGAAGACGAUCAGAUACCGUCGUAGUCCCAACCAUAAACUAUUCCGACCAGGGAUCGGCGGACGUUAGUGUCUGACUCCGUCGGCACCUUACGAGAAAUCAGAGUGUCUGG
rnacentral:rRNA from 1 species